rnacentral:tRNA from 1 species
UGAGCUGUAAACUCGCACAGAGAACAAUGUUCUUGCUACCA